UACGGGGGGGGCAAGCGUUGUUCGGAAUUACUGGGCGUAAAGCGCACGUAGGCGGACUGUUAAGUCGGGGGUGAAAUCCUGGGGCUCAACCUCAGAAUUGCCUCCGAUACUGGCAGUCUCGGAUGCGGGAGAGGUGAGUGGAAUUCCCAGUGUAGAGGUGAAAUUCGUAGAUAUUGGGAAGAACACCAGUGGCGAAGGCGGCUCACUGGCCCGUAACUGACGCUGAGGUGCGAAAGCGUGGGGAGCAAACAGG
rnacentral:rRNA from 1 species